rnacentral:rRNA from 1 species
AGUAAUACAUCGGAACGUGUCCUGUAGUGGGGGAUAGCCCGGCGAAAGCCGGAUUAAUACCGCAUACGCUCUACGGAGGAAAGGGGGGGAUCUUAGGACCUCCCGCUACAGGGGCGGCCGAUGGCAGAUUAGCUAGUUGGUGGGGUAAAGGCCUACCAAGGCGACGAUCUGUAGCUGGUCUGAGAGGACGACCAGCCACACUGGGACUGAGACACGGCCCAGACUCCUACGGGAGGCAGCAGUGGGGAAUUUUGGACAAUGGGGGCAACCCUGAUCCAGCAAUGCCGCGUGUGUGAAGAAGGCCUUCGGGUUGUAAAGCACUUUUGUCCGGAAAGAAAACGCCGUGGUUAAUACCCGUGGCGGAUGACGGUACCGGAAGAAUAAGCACCGGCUAACUACGUGCCAGCAGCCGCGGUAAUACGUAGGGUGCA